CUACGGGCGGCUGCAGUGGGGAAUAUUGCACAAUGGGCGCAAGCCUGAUGCAGCCAUGCCGCGUGUGUGAAGAAGGCCUUCGGGUUGUAAAGCACUUUCAGCGGGGAGGAAGGCGGUGAGGUUAAUAACCUCAUCGAUUGACGUUACCCGCAGAAGAAGCACCGGCUAACUCCGUGCCAGCAGCCGCGGUAAGAAGGAGGGUGCAAGCGUUAAUCGGAAUUACUGGGCGUAAAGCGCACGCAGGCGGGCUGUCAAGUCGGGGGUGAAAUCCCCGGGCUCAACCUGGGAACUGCAUUCGAAACUGUCAGGCUAGAGUCUUGUAGGGGGGGGUAGAAUUCCAGGGGUAGCGGGGAAAGUCGUAGAGAUCUGGAGGAACACCGGUUGCGAAGGCGGCCCCCUGGACAAAGACUGACGCUCAGGUGCGAAAGCGUGGGGAGCAAACAGGAUUAGAUACCCCGGUAGUC
rnacentral:rRNA from 1 species